rnacentral:rRNA from 1 species
GAUGAACGCUGGCGGCGUGCUUAACACAUGCAAGUCGAACGGAAAGGCCCAAGCUUGCUUGGGUGCUCGAGUGGCGAACGGGUGAGUAACACGUGGGUGAUCUGCCCUGCACUUUGGGGUAAGCCUGGGAAACUGGGUCUAAUACCGGAUAGGACCAUCGUUUAGUGUCGGUGGUGGAAAGUGUUUCGGUGUGGGAUGAGCUCGCGGCCUAUCAGCUUGUUGGUGGGGUAAUGGCCUACCAAGGCGUCGACGGGUAGCCGGCCUGAGAGGGUGUACGGCCACAUUGGGACUGAGAUACGGCCCAGACUCCUACGGGAGGCAGCAGUGGGGAAUAUUGCACAAUGGGCGCAAGCCUGAUGCAGCGACGCCGCGUGGGGGAGGACGGCCUUCGGGUUGGAAACUCCUUUCGCCAAGGACGAAGCGUUUUGUGACGGUACUUGGAGAAGAAGCACCGGCUAACUACGUG